rnacentral:rRNA from 1 species
CACGUAGGGGGCAAGCGUUGUCCGGAUUUAUUGGGCGUAAAGAGCUCGUAGGCUGUUCGAUAAGUCGGGUGUGAAACCUCCAGGCUCAACCUGGAGACGCCACCCGAUACUGUCAUGACUAGAGUCCGGUAGGGGAGCGUGGAAUUCCUGGUGUAGCGGUGAAAUGCGCAGAUAUCAGGAGGAACACCAGUGGCGAAGGCGGCCACCUAGCCCGCACCUGACGCUGAGGCGCGACAGCGUGGGGAGCGAACUGG